AACGAACGCUGGCGGCAUGCCUAACACAUGCAAGUCGAGCGCCCGGAGCGAUCCGGGAGCGGCGCACGGGUGAGUAACGCGUGGGAACCUGCCCAGUAGUUGGGGAUAACCGCGGGAAACUGCGGCUAAUACCGAAUACGCCCGUAAGGGGAAAGAUUUAUCGCUAUUGGAGGGGCCCGGCGUCGGAUUAGCUGGUUGGUGAGGUAACGGCUCACCAAGGCGACGAUCCGUAGCUGGUCUGAGAGGAUGAUCAGCCA
rnacentral:rRNA from 1 species